UACGUAGGUCCCGAGCGUUGUCCGGAUUUAUUGGGUUUAAAGGGUGCGUAGGCGGUUUGAUAAGUUAGAGGUGAAAUGUCGGGGCUCAACCCCGAAACUGCCUCUAAUACUGUUGGACUAGAGAAUAGUUGCGGUAGGCGGAAUGUAUGGUGUAGCGGUGAAAUGCUUAGAGAUCAUACAGAACACCGAUUGCGAAGGCAGCUUACCAAACUAUAUCUGACGUUGAGGCACGAAAGCGUGGGUAGCAAACAGG
rnacentral:rRNA from 1 species